rnacentral:rRNA from 1 species
UACGGAGGAUGCGAGCGUUAUCCGGAUUUAUUGGGUUUAAAGGGAGCGCAGACGGCAGUGCAAGUCUGGAGUGAAAGCCCGGGGCUCAACCCCGGGACUGCUUUGGAAACUGCAUAGCUGGAGUGCUGGAGAGGCAAGCGGAAUUCCUAGUGUAGCGGUGAAAUGCGUAGAUAUUAGGAAGAACACCAGUGGCGAAGGCGGCUUGCUGGACAGUAACUGACGCUGAUGCGCGAAAGCGUGGGGAGCAAACAGG